rnacentral:rRNA from 1 species
GAUCAACGCUGGCGGCGUGCCUAACGCAUGUAAGUCGAACGCAGAGCCUUUCGGGCUCUGAGUGGCGAACGGCUGAGGAACACGUACGAACCUGCCCGCUUGUGGGGAAUAACGCACCGAAAGGUGUGCUAAUACCGCGUACGCUCACAUGGCAACAUGUGAGGAAAGUCGCAAGACGCUGGCGGAGGGGCGUGCGGCCCAUCAGGUUGUUGGUGGGGUGAUGGCCUACCAAGGCGACGACGGGUAGCCGGCCUGAGAGGGCGACCGGCCACACUGGGACUGAGACACGGCCCAGACUCCUACGGGAGGCAGGCAGUGGGGAAUCUUGCGCAAUGGGCGAAAGCCUGACGCAGCGACG